UGGGGAAUAUUGCACAAUGGAGGGAACUCUGAUGCAGCGACGCCGCGUGAGUGAUGAAGGAAUUCGUUUCGUAAAACUCUGUUCUAUGGGAAGAAAAGGACUGUACCAUAGGAGAAAGCUCCGGCUAAAUACGUGCCAGCAGCCGCGGUAAUACGUAUGGAGCGAGCGUUGUCCGGAAUUAUUGGGCGUAAAGGGUGCGCAGGCGGCUUUACGAGUUGGAUGUGAAAUAUUGUGGCUCAACCACAAACGUGCAUCCAAAACUGCAAAGCUUGAGUUAAGGAGAGGUAAGUGGAAUUCCUGGUGUAGCGGUGGAAUGCGUAGAUAUCAGGAGGAAUACCGGUGGCGAAGGCGACUUACUGGACUUAAACUGACGCUCAGGCACAAAAGCGUGGGGAGCAAACAGG
rnacentral:rRNA from 1 species